rnacentral:lncRNA from 1 species
UUUGCUAUUUCUUGGGCCGCUCCCGUGGCAUAUGGAGGUUCCCAGGCUAGGGGUCCAAUCGGAGCUGUAGCCACCGGCCUACGCCAGAGCCACAGCAACGCGGGAUCCGAGCCACGUCUGCGACCUACACCACAGCUCACGGCAGAGCCGGAUCGUUAACUCACUGAGCAAGGGCAGGGACCGAACCUGCAACCUCAUGGUUCCUAGUCAGAUUCGUUAACCACUGCAAAGUAUUUUUGUUAAUUUUUGGAUAGCCUUGCAAAUAUUAAUAUGGAUACCUCAUUAUUCCAGCAGACUAAAGUUUUAUCUUAAUACUGCAGAGACAAUUUCAAGAUUUUUAUUGCAAAAGUUAAAUAAUUGUUGUAUAGUUCACUAUGACCAAUUUCAUUAACUUAAUAAAAUGUGGAAACAAUUAACCAAAAACAUUACAUGCAUGUUGUAGAGCAGUUCUAUCCAUUAGAUGUGGUAUAUGAACAUAAUGUGGUAUAUAAACAAAAUGUGUAUAUAAACAAAUAUAUACUAAUAUAUGUUGUGUAAAAACAAGGUGUGGCGUAUAAAAAAACUGAAUGAAUAAAGUAUGAUAUAUGUAUAUAUACAUACACAAUAAAAUAUCAUUUGGCCAUAAAAAAAAAUGAAGUUCUGGCAAAUGCAACACUGAUAAACAUUGACGAUAUGCAAAGUAAAGUAAAUCCUACACAAAAGGACAAGUAUUGUACUGCUCCAAUUAUAUGAGGUACCCAGAAAAGGCAAAUUCAAAGACUGAAAGUAGGUUAGAAGUUACCAGGGGCCAGAGAGAAAGGGAAUAUAACAAAUGUACCAUGGUAAUUAAUAUAAAAUAUUAAUAUAGGGGAACCUGUGGGGGGGAUAUUCUUUGUAACUUUUAUGUAAAUCUAUGAGAAUUCUUUGUAACUUUUAUGUAAAUCCCAAACUGCUUUAAAAACAAAAUAUUAUAAAAAAAAAACGAACAGAACUAUGAUAUAUCCACCACCAAAUUUUACUCUAUAAAUAGGUGACCACACAUUUUGAUCUUUCUAUGUGCUAAAAAUUAGACCUAAUACAAAUUCAAUAAAGGAAAUUGAAUCAAGUUUAUAAUAUCCUUUUUGAGACCCCUGAUGUGCAAGGAAAAUUUUGGAAUACCUGUUUUGUGAUACUGUGCUAAAAUACAAGCUAGACAAUCUACAGUCUUGUAUAUUUUGAAGAAAAUUAACUUACACAACUAUAAAAUGGUUAGAGCAGAACACUGAUAUACAUCAAAAUAUUUCUAGAUGGGCAACUGGAAAGAACUUUAAGAAAAACUGUUCAUAUUUUUACCAACUUUUACAAGGAUACCAUUGUACAGAAAUCAUUCCUCACACAAGGAAAUAUGGAUCAUGUUUUUAUGGCACCAUUAUUUGUGAAGGGCAGAAAACGCUUUAAAGUAAACUGUUAAAUAAACUGUUAAAUAAAUUAUAGUAUACAUGAAUUUUCAUUUCAAACUAGGAGCUAAGUAUUCUAAUAUGCAGUCCAGAGUCACAUGUUAAAUAUCAAAAUUGAUCAUUUUUAGAACAUAAAAUUGAAUGACUUGUGUAUGACAAGGUAUCCUGUUUAAGCCAUGCAAAGAUUUAUGGUAAGGCAGAGGGCUCUAUGAAUAUAUGAGUCAUGAAACAUCCCAUAAAAAUUGCUUUGAUAAGACUAUCUCAACCAAGAACAGAAGCAAUGUGCAGCAAAAGACAUGCAAGAAAGCACAGAUCAUGAAACAUUAUAAUACUGUUUCUGCUUUAGUUCUUCUAUUAUGUUACAUGUACUCUAAUUAAAAUCACCCUGCAUAUUAAUUUUAACAUGUAAAUUUUCCUAUUAUAAAGUCCAUGUAUGUAAACAUCAUAUGACAUCUUUAUAGUAUACCUAGAAGGAAAAAAAAGUAUAACAAGGGUUGGGAAAAAUAAAACCCUGGGUAGAGCUGACACAAAACAGAAUGAAAAAAAUCUCAACAUAGAGACCAUUCUAGUAAAUUGUUGAGGGGGAAAGUCAAGAGCCAUGAUUAAUAGUCAUGGACACAAAUAUUAUUAUAUAGAACCAAGAAAUUUAGAGUAUAUGGAAUAACAUCACAUAAAUGAAUCUAAACAUGGACAGGCAGCAAGUGGGCACAGCAAACAGUAACAUUUACAAUACUUAUACAACUGAAAUAAUUCCAUACUGUUACAGAAAAGACAGUUAAUGGGCUUACAAACCAAUGAGUCCAGAAGCAGACCCAAAUAAAUUAUGAGAAUUUAAUAUGUGACAGAUAUAAUUUUAAAUGAGCAAGCAAAAGAUGGAUUUCCAAUAAAUAGUACUGGACAAUUUACUAGCCCUUUAAAAUAGAAUGUGAGAUCAUUAUAUGACUACUGACACCAAAAUGAGAUCCAAAUGGAGCAGUGAUUUUGACUAAAUUAUAAAAAUACUAAAAAGAUGUUCAACUUGUAGAGCUGUUCAUGUGAUGUUAUUUUCUUUUAGCCUACCAUGUUGUAAUUAUAUUCAGAUUUCCUAAAUUUAAAUCAUCCUUGCAUGGCUGGCAUGAACACUACUUGCUUGUGUACUAGUUAUGAAUUUGCUCCUGGAUUCCUCUAAGUUUAAAUUUAGGUCAUUUGCUUAUACAGUUG